rnacentral:rRNA from 1 species
CCGGUUGAUCCUGCCGGACCCGACUGCUAUCGGAGUGAGACUAAGCCAUGCGAGUCGUGCGCUCCGGGCUGGCGGAGCGCGGCGUACGGCUCAGUAACACGUGGUCAACCUACCCUGCGGACGGCUAUAACCCCGGGAAACUGGGGCUAAUAGCCGAUAGGGGAUAGGUGCUGGAAGGCCCUGUCCUCGAAAGGCCUAACCACCCAUGCCGUGGUUAGGCACCGCAGGAUGGGACUGCGCCCUAUCAGGUAGACGGUGGGGUAACGGCCCACCGUGCCUGUAACGGGUGCGGGCCCUGGGAGGGGGAGCCCGGAGAUGGGCACUGAGACAAGGGCCCAGGCCCUACGGGGCGCAGCAGGCGCGAAAACUCCGCUAUGCGCGAAAGCGCGACGGGGUCACUCCGAGUGCCGCCCGCUGAGGGCGGCUUUUGCCCAGUCCAAAAGGCUGGGCGAAUAAGGGGAGGGCAAGUUUGGUGUCAGCCGCCGCGGUAAUACCAACUCCCCGAGUGGUCGGGACGAUUAUUGGGCUUAAAGCGUCCGUAGCCGGCCCGGUGUGUCUCUGGUCAAAUCCGGCGUCUCAAGCGCCGGACCGCCGGAGAUACUACUGGACUAGGGAGCGGGAGAGGCGGGCGGUAUUCCCUGGGUAGGGGUAAAAUCCUAAGAUCCAGGGAGGACCAUCGGUGGCGAAGGCGGCCCGCUAGAACGCGUCCGACGGUGAGGGACGAAAGCUGGGGGAGCGAUCCGGAUUAGAUACCCGGGUAGUCCCAGCCGUAAACGAUGCAGGCUAGGUGUGUGGACGCCUUAGGGGCGUCCAUGUGCCGAAGGGAAACCGUUAAGCCUGCCGCCUGGGGAGUACGGCCGCAAGGCUGAAACCCUAGGAGGCCCUUAACUGAUAUAAUGAGGAAGGGUUCUCCUAGGGCAGCACACUUAAAGGAAUUGGCGGGGGAGCACCACAAGGGGUGGAGCCUGCGGUUCAAUUGGACUCAACGCCGG